rnacentral:rRNA from 1 species
UCCUACGGGAGGCAGCAGUGGGGAAUAUUGCACAAUGGGGGAAACCCUGAUGCAGCAACGCCGCGUGAGUGAAGAAGUAUUUCGGUAUGUAAGGCUCUAUCAGCAGGGAAGAAAAUAACGGUACCUGACUAAGAAGCCCCGGCUAACUACGUGCCAGCAGCCGCGGUAAUACGUAGGGGGCAAGCGUUAUCCGGAUUUACUGGGUGUAAAGGGAGCGUAGACGGCGAUGCAAGUCUGAAGUGAAAGGCGGGGGCCCAACCCCCGGACUGCUUUGGACACUGUAUGGCUGGAGUGCAGGAGAGGUA